GACGUAGGGCGCGAGCGUUGUCCGGAUUUAUUGGGCGUAAAGAGCUCGUAGGCGGCUUGUCGCGUCGUCCGUGAAAACUUGGGGCUCAACCCCAAGCUUGCGGUCGAUACGGGCGGGCUAGAGUUCGGUAGGGGAGACUGGAAUUCCUGGUGUAGCGGUGAAAUGCGCAGAUAUCAGGAGGAACACCAAUAGCGAAGGCAGCUCGCUGGGACGUUACUGACACUGAGGCGCGAAAGCGUGGGGAGCGAACAGG
rnacentral:rRNA from 1 species